UGGGAAUAUUGCACAAUGGGGGGAAACCCUGAUGCAGCGACGCCGCGUGAAGGAAGAAGUAUCUCGGUAUGUAAACUUCUAUCAGCAGGGAAGAAAGUGACGGUACCUGAUGAAUAAGCCACGGCUAACUACGUGCCAGCAGCCGCGGUAAUACGUAGGUGGCAAGCGUUAUCCGGAUUUACUGGGUGUAAAGGGCGCGUAGGCGGGGAUGCAAGUCAGAUGUGAAAUCUAUGGGCUUAACCCAUAAACUGCAUUUGAAACUGUAUCUCUUGAGUGUCGGAGAGGUAGACGGAAUUCCUAGUGUAGCGGUGAAAUGCGUAGAUAUUAGGAGGAACACCAGUGGCGAAGGCGGUCUACUGGACGAUAACUGACGCUGAGGCGCGAAAGCGUGGGGAGCAAACAGGAUUAGAUACCCUGGUAGU
rnacentral:rRNA from 1 species